GGGGGUAUAGCUCAGUGGUAGAGCACAUGCUUAGAAUGCAUAAGGUCCUGGGUUCAAUCCCCAGUACGUCCA
rfam:Camelus ferus unplaced genomic scaffold scaffold391, whole genome shotgun sequence.